rnacentral:rRNA from 1 species
AAUUUUGGACAAUGGGGGAAACCCUGAUCCAGCCAUCCCGCGUGUAUGAUGAAGGCCUUCGGGUUGUAAAGUACUUUUGGCAGAGAAGAAAAGGUACCUCCUAAUACGAGGUACUGCUGACGGUAUCUGCAGAAUAAGCACAGGCUAACUACGUGCCAGCAGCCGCGGUAAUACGUAGGGUGCAAGCGUUAAUCGGAAUUACUGGGCGUAAAGCGUGUGUGGGCGGUUCGGAAAGCAAGAUGUGACAUCCCUGCGCUCUAAGUUGGAACGGCGUUUUUAACUGCCCAGCUGAAGUAUGUCAGGGCGGGGUAGAAUUCCACGUGUAGCAAUGAAAUGCGUAGAUAUGUGGAGGACUACCGAUGGCAAAGGCAGCCCCCUGAGAUACUACUGACGCUCAGACACGAAAGCGUGGGGAGCAAACA